CUUGGCCCCUGCUCGCCUCUCCUCCGCCGUGAACCCCUCCUGGACUCGCGUUCCCCGGCUGCGGUCCGCAGCUGUCUCACCAGGUGGAGCAGCCUGUGUGGGUCGUCAGGCUCCCACAGGAAUGGCCAGAAGGGGCUAGGUCACUGGGGUGCAGCGGAAACAAAGCUGAUGCGAGCAUGCGUAGGACUGAGAGAGCCCUGGACCAGAGGACCCUGAUUUGCUGUUUGUUCACCUCCAGCACAGGUGGGGCUUCAGAUAACCUGCUGGACCUUUCCCACAUUGGAUGACGGUGAAGGGGCCAUGUGUCAAGGAAAUAAAAGUCCUACAACCAAAGGGAUUGAAUUCUUCUAACAACCUGAAUGAUCUUAGAAGCAGAGUCUUUGCCAGGAUCUCCAGAAAAGAGCUCAGCCCAACUGACACCUUGAACAGAAGACCCAACUGAGUAAUGCUGUGCCUAGAUUUCUGACUCACAGAACUGUGAGAUAAUAAA